AAGAAUUUAAGUUAAUGAAACUAUUGACCUUCAAAGUCAAAAUUAGGUAAUAAUCUAAUUCUUAA
rnacentral:tRNA from 1 species